AGGUUGGCUCAGAAGCAGCCAUCCUUUAAAGAGUGCGUAACAGCUCACUAGUCGAAUGACUCUGCGCCGAUAAUUUACCGGGGCUAAGCAUACUACCGAAGCUAUGGAUCCCAAGGGAUGGUAGGGGAGCGUUCCAUGAACGGAGAAGUACGACCGAAAGGACGUGUGGAGAUCAUGGAAGAGAGAAUGCCGGUGUGAGUAGCGGAACGUGGGUGAGAAUCCCACGCACCGAAAACCCAAGGUUUCCAGAGGAAGGUUCGUCCGCUCUGGGUAAGUCGGGACCUAAGGCGAGGCCGAAAGGCGUAGUCGAUGGACAACAGGUAGAGAUUCCUGUACCCGUAUAUAUGUGAAGGAAUGACGGAGAGAGGAAGCUGCAGCCAGCGGCUGGAAGAGCUGGUGCAAGCGAGAUAUCGGGAUGGCAGGCAAAUCCACCAUCCGAAACGAGAAGGCGUGAAGCGUACGGAAAGCUACGGCGAGUACGGAAGGCAGUGGAGGAACUUCCAAGAAAAGUUUCUAACGUUAAGUAUAUAUGGCCCGUACCGAAAAUGGACACACAUGGGUGAGGAGAGAAUCCUAAGGUGAGCGAGAGAACUAUAGCUAAGGAACUCUGCAAAAUGACUCCGUAACUUAGGGAGAAGGAGUGCUCAUAGAGAUAUGAGCCGCAGUGAAACGGCCCAAGCGACUGUUUACCAAAAACACAGCUCUCUGCUAAGCCGCAAGGCGAAGUAUAGGGGGUGACGCCUGCCCGGUGCUGGAAGGUUAAGGGGAGGGGUUAACGCAAGUGAAGCCCUGAACUGAAGCCCCAGUAAACGGCGGCCGUAACUAUAACGGUCCUAAGGUAGCGAAAUUCCUUGUCAGGUAAGUUCUGACCCGCACGAAAGGCGUAACGAUUUGGGCGCUGUCUCAGCUGUAGACUCGGUGAAGUCUUAGUACCUGUGAAGAUGCAGGUUACCCGCGACUAGACGGAAAGACCCCAUGGAGCUUCACUGCAGGUUGAUAUUGGGAUUUGAUGCAGCAUGUACAGGAUAGGUAGGAGGCAAAGAGAUGGAUACGCCAGUAUUCAAGGAGCCGCUGUUGGGAUACUACCCCUGUUGUAUUGGAUUUCUAACCGGACGACGUAGAGCCGUUGACGGGACAGUGUCAGUCGGGCAGUUUGACUGGGGCGGUCGCCUCCCAAAGAGUAACGGAGGCGCCCAAAGAUACCCUCAGCUUGGAUGGAAACCAAGCGCAGAGUGCAAAGGCAAAAGGGUGUUUGACUGCGAGACCCACAAGUCGAGCAGGGACGAAAGUCGGGCUUAGUGAUCCGGCGGUGCUGAAUGGAAAGGCCGUCGCUCAACGGAUAAAAGCUACCCUGGGGAUAACAGGCUGAUCUCCCCCAAGAGUUCACAUCGACGGGGAGGUUUGGCACCUCGAUGUCGGCUCAUCGCAUCCUGGAGCUGAAUUCGGUUCCAAGGGUUGGGCUGUUCGCCCAUUAAAGCGGUACGCGAGCUGGGUUCAGAACGUCGUGAGACAGUUCGGUCCCUAUCUGUCGUGGGCGCAGGAAAUUUGAGAAGAGCUGUCCUCAGUACGAGAGGACCGGGAUGGACGCAUCAAUGGUGGACCAGUUGUCACGCCAGUGGCAUAGCUGGGUAGCUAAAUGCGGAAGGGAUAAACGCUGAAGGCAUCUAAGUGUGAAACCCACUUCAAGAUGAGAUUUCCCAUUGCGCAAGCAAGUAAGACCCCUUAAAGACGAUAAGGUAGAUAGGUCAGGAGUGUAAGCAUGGUGACAUGUUAAGCGGACUGAUACUAAUAGGUCGAGGGCUUGACCGA
rnacentral:rRNA from 1 species